ACCAAACCCACCGACAGUUGACGAGUUGACACGACAACUUGACUCCCCGCUUAUUAGUUACUACAACAGUCCUAUGAAGUAUGAGAAUCAGUUACCAUGGUCGCAAUAACGUUCUCAGAUCUUUGACUUGUGUCUCAAUUUCGCUUUUUCUUCUCAACCCAAUAACUGCAAUAACAUUCCUCGAUCAGAAAUUUACUCCAAACUUAGAUUCAUCAACAUCCAUGUCCACAGCACACCAAAAUUGAAGACAAUCAAAGUGGAUGAUGUUGGGAUAAUGUUCUGAUUAUGCAAAAGCACUUCAAUGUCCAGGUACUCUCUCUCUCUCUCUCUCUCUCACACACACACACACACACACACACAAACACAAACUUACACAUUAAAUAUGCUGAAGAACAGCCCAGGGCUCUUAGACUGAGGGGAUGCUACGUAUGGCCACCAGAAUAUUAGACUAAAAACAGUAUAAAGGCUUUUUCAGUCUAGUUGACAUUUUAGAACCAUCAAAUAAUCACUUCUGAUCAUUUCAGUAAUGGUGAAUAGUGAAUUCAGAGUUUAGUUUGCUUGCACAGAGGCUGCUUCUGAAGAGGGUUUUGAGUAUGCAGAUGUCAAGAUAGCGGUUGCAAAAGAUUUGCAUUGCCAGGCUGAGAUUGUACUAGUUGGAUAAGAGCCUCACUUCGCUCUAUUUGGAUUCUACUUCAAAUAAAGGUCAAGUUUACAUUGAGUUUGGCUUUGAACUAGUCAUCUAAGUUGGACAUUGUGAUUUACUUGAUUGUAUUGUACAUUGCUUUGCACUCAUGCUUUUGUGGUCAUUCUCCUACUGCUUCACAAUCUAUAGAAGAAACUCUGUACUUUAUUUUUUGAUUCUAACACUCCUAUUCCAUUCGAUUUGAUUGCUUGGAUUGAUAGAGCUAGCAAAAACUGCCCUGUUCACUCCCGUUUACAUAUCCUUCAUGUCAUGGAUGUUUGGCAAUUAUAUUAUAUACUGUUUUACAUGACCAAAUUACCAAUCCUUGCUGCGCCUUCUCCCAACAAAAAGAAAAUGUGGGAAAAGGUCAUCUUUUAUCUAAUUGAUUGAUAAUUGGGGUUAUAAUGAUUAUAUUUUGUGUUCUCACCCAAUGCGAAGAGUGCCAUCUAUAUAUAUACGUAAUAUAUAUUAUUAGUAGUCAGUUUCAAUUUAACAACACCCUUAACAAAACAAUUGGGAUUUAGUGUCAAAUUUAGCACGAAUAGAUUAUUUCACUAGAACAGAGCAGUAAAAUUGCAGGCCAACUGCAUUCACUAGUAACUCUUAAAACACUGUUAACUGUGCCACUAAACUGUUAUCCAUGAAACUGCAUGCAAGGACUGUUAGCAAGGUUCUGUAAUUGGACAGCUCACUUGUCUUCUAACUUCUUAUCAUCCUCAUUAUUUAUUUAUACAUGCAUUUCAAUUUGGGAGAGUCAUUGCCUUUGACUAUUUAUAUGAA